ensembl:lncRNA
GUGCUGUGUGAUAGAGCAGUGCUGUGUGAUAGAGCAGUGCUGUGGUGUAGUGAUAGAGCAGUGCUAUGUGAUAGAGCAGUGCUAUGGUGUAGUGAUAGAGCAGUGCUAUGUGAUAGAGCAGUGCUAUGGUGUAGUGUCAGAGCAGUGCUAUGUGAUAGAGCAGUGCUAUGGUGUAGUGAUAGAGCAGUGCUGUGGUGUAGUGAUAGAGCAGUGCCGUGUGAUAGAGCAGUGCUGUGGUAUAGAGCAGUGCUGUGUGAUAGAGCAGUGCUGGGCUAUAGAGCAGUGCUGUGUGAUAGAGCAGUGCUGUGGUAUAGAGCAGUGCUAUGGUGUAGAGCAGUGCUGUGUGAUAGAGCAGUGCUGUGGUAUAGAGCAGUGCUGUGUGAUGGAGCAGUGCUGUGUGAUAGAGCAGUGCUGUGGUAUAGAGCAGUGCUGUGUGAUAGAGCAGUGCCGUGGUGUAGUGAUAGAGCAGUGCUGUGGUGUAGUGAUAGAGCAGUGCCGUGGUGUAGUGAUAGAGCAGUGCUGUGGUGUAGUGAUAGAGCAGUGCUAUGUGAUAGAGCAGUGCUAUGGUGUAGUGAUAGAGCAGUGCUGUUGUGUAGUGAUAGAGCAGUGCUAUGUGAUAGAGCAGUGCUAUGGUGUAGUGAUAGAGCAGUGCUAUGUGAUAGAGCAGUGCUAUGGUGUAGUGAUAGAGCAGUGCUGUGGUGUAGUGAUAGAGCAGUGCCGUGGUGUAGUGAUAGAGCAGUGCUGUGGUGUAGUGAUAGAGCAGUGCUAUGUGAUAGAGCAGUGCUAUGGUGUAGUGAUAGAGCAGUGCUGUUGUGUAGUGAUAGAGCAGUGCUAUGUGAUAGAGCAGUGCUGUGGUGUAGUGAUAGAGCAGUGCUGUGGUGUAGUGAUAGAGCAGUGCCGUGUGAUAGAGCAGUGCUGUGUAAUAGAGCAGUGCUGUGGUGUAGUGAUAGAGCAGUGCUGUGUAAUAGAGCAGUGCUGUGUGAUAGAGCAGUGCUGUGUGAUAGAGCAGUGCUGUAUGAUAGAGCAGUGCCGUGUGAUAGAGCAGUGCUGUGUAAUAGAGCAGUGCUGUGUGAUAGAGCAGUGCCGUGUGAUAGAGCAGUGCUGUGUAAUAGAGCAGUGCUGUGUGAUAGAGCAGUGCUGUGUAAUAGAGCAGUGCUGUGUGAUAGAGCAGUGCCGUGUGAUAGAGCAGUGCUGUGUAAUAGAGCAGUGCUGUGUGAUAG